rnacentral:rRNA from 1 species
CACGUAGGGGGCAAGCGUUGUCCGGAAUCAUUGGGCGUAAAGAGCUCGUAGGCGGCUCGGUAAGUCGGGUGUGAAACCCCCAGGCUCAACCUGGGGACGCCACCCGAUACUGCUGUGGCUAGAGUCCAGUAGGGGAGUGUGGAAUUCCCGGUGUAGCGGUGAAAUGCGCAGAUAUCGGGAGGAACACCAGCGGCGAAGGCGGUUCUCUGGGCCGAUACUGACGCUGAGGAGCGAAAGCGUGGGGAGCGAACAGG